AUUGAACGCUGGCGGCAUGCUUUACACAUGCAAGUCGAACGGUAACAGGCCGCAAGGUGCUGACGAGUGGCGAACGGGUGAGUAAUGCAUCGGAACGUGCCCAGUCGUGGGGGAUAACUACUCGAAGGAGUAGCUAAUACCGCAUACGAUCUAUGGAUGAAAGCGGGGGACCGUAAGGCCUCGCGCGAUUGGAGCGGCCGAUGUCAGAUUAGGUAGUUGGUGGGGUAAAGGCUCACCAAGCCAACGAUCUGUAGCUGGUCUGAGAGGACGACCAGCCACACUGGGACUGAGACACGGCCCAGACUCCUACGGGAGGCAGCAGUGGGGAAUUUUGGACAAUGGGCGCAAGCCUGAUCCAGCAAUGCCGCGUGCAGGAAGAAGGCCCUCGGGUUGUAAACUGCUUUUGUACGGAACGAAACGGCUCUGGUUAAUACCCGGGGCUAAUGACGGUACCGUAAGAAUAAGCACCGGCUAACUACGUG
rnacentral:rRNA from 1 species